rnacentral:rRNA from 1 species
GUGGGGAAUUUUGGACAAUGGGGGCAACCCUGAUCCAGCCAUUCCGCGUGAGUGAAGAAGGCCUUCGGGUUGUAAAGCUCUUUCGGCAGGAACGAAACGGUGAGCUCUAACAUAGCUCGCUAAUGACGGUACCUGAAGAAGAAGCACCGGCUAACUACGUGCCAGCAGCCGCGGUAAUACGUAGGGUGCGAGCGUUAAUCGGAAUUACUGGGCGUAAAGCGUGCGCAGGCGGUUGUGUAAGACAGGUGUGAAAUCCCCGGGCUUAACCUGGGAACUGCGCUUGUGACUGCACGGCUAGAGUAUGGCAGAGGGGGGUGGAAUUCCACGUGUAGCAGUGAAAUGCGUAGAGAUGUGGAGGAACACCGAUGGCGAAGGCAGCCCCCUGGGCCAAUACUGACGCUCAUGCACGAAAGCGUGGGGAGCAAACAGGAUUAGAUACCCUUGUAGUCC